rnacentral:lncRNA from 1 species
GUGAGGAUGAGGGUGGGCAGUACUAUGUAGGGGGUAUGGGUGGAGGCUUAGAGGGGAGAGUUGGGGAGCAUUGAGCAGAUAUGGUGGCGGUUAGACUGACCACUGCCCUGAUAUGCGGGGCCUAUGACUAUGCUGUGAAUGUCGAUUGGAAUGGGGCACAGCUUGUUAAAUCUCUCCAAAAUGGUUUAGGACUCACCACUAUAGAGGCUAUGCAUUUAAUGAGAAUGAAAUGGUCCCAUGAUGUAAUCAACAAUCAUGACUCCUUUUCAUUACCACCGGCAUGGAAGUAGUGUGCAGCCAAUGGACUCUAGACAGGGCAGACCUUAUCAGGUUAUGAUGAAGCCCUGUAUGACAUUCCCUUGGCCUCUAUGCCCCCUAUUUUCUUACACAAUGAUUUAUGCUAUCCCGAUAUAUGCUACUAUCUA